rnacentral:rRNA from 1 species
GACGAACGCUGGCGGCGUGCUUAACACAUGCAAGUCGAACGGUGAAAGCGGAGCUUGCUCCGCUGGAUCAGUGGCGAAUGGGUGAGUAACACGUGGGCAACCUGCCCCUCACUUCGGGAUAACUCCGGGAAACCGGGGCUAAUACCGGAUAUGACCUCCUUGGGCAUCCUUGGAGGUGGAAAGUUUUUCGGUGAGGGAUGGGCCCGCGGCCUAUCAGCUUGUUGGUGAGGUAGUGGCGCACCAAGGCGACGACGGGUAGCCGGCCUGAGAGGGCGACCGGCCACACUGGGACUGAGACACGGCCCAGACUCCUACGGGAGGCAGCAGUGGGGAAUAUUGCGCAAUGGGCGAAAGCCUGACGCAGCAACGCCGCGUGCGGGAUGACGGCCUUCGGGUUGUAAACCGCUUUCAGCAGGGAAGAAGCCGCAAGGUGACGGUACCUGCAGAAGAAGCACCGGCUAACUACGUGCCAGCAGCCGCCGUAA